GACGAACGCUGGCGGCGUGCUUAACACAUGCAAGUGGAGCGACGAACCGGGCUUCGGCCCGGGGCAAAGCCGCGAACGGGUGAGUAUCACGUGGGUAACCUGCCCCGAUGACCGGGAUAACCCGAGGAAACUCGAGCUAAUACCGGAUGUGCUCCCAAUCCAUCAGGGUUGGAAGUAAAGGAAGCUUCGGCCUCCGCAUUGGGAUGGGCCCGCGGCCCAUUAGCUUGUUGGUGAGGUAACGGCUCACCAAGGCCACGAUGGGGAGCUGGUCUGAGAGGACGGUCAGCCACACUGGGACUGAGACACGGCCCAGAGUCCUACGGGGGGCAGCAGUGGGGAAUCUUGCGCAAUGCGCGAAAGCGUGACGCAGCAACGCCGCGUGAGGGAAGAAGGCCUCCGGGUUGUAAACCCCUUUCAGUUGGGACGAAGCUUCGUCGGUUAAUAGCCGGCAGGAGUGACGGUACCUUCACAAGAAGCACCGGCUAACUACGUGCCAGCAGCCGCCGUAAAAC
rnacentral:rRNA from 1 species